rnacentral:lncRNA from 1 species
AAGAGCCAAGUUCCCAGGACCCGGGGAAGGACAGACAGCUCCCAGAUCACUCUUUCAGAGUAAGGAAACCUGGAUACAGAAUCAGCACUUGGACGGCACUUACACACCUACAUACACUGUGUGAACAAAUUUUGAACCCUGCCGCAUAUUUUUUUGUUAUUUUCAACCUAUGACAGAUACCUGAGAUACACAAUUUAAGAAGAAUUAUUUAUUUUAGUUCCUGGUCUUAAGAGAUUUUGAUCCAUAAUCUUGGUCCCAUACACUCUGAGCCUGUGUGUGGUGAGGCAGAAAAUGAUUCCCAAAGGGAGAACACAGACUGGAAAGGGGCCGGCAAGAUACAGUCCCUGGAGAUGCGCUCAAAGUGACCCAGUCCCUCCAGCAAGGUCUGCCCUUCA